rnacentral:lncRNA from 1 species
GUUGAAGCAUAAAAACUAAAUAAUGCUUUUAUUUAAAAAUUUAAAGAUAGCACAAUACAAAAAUCCCAAUAAACAUAACAUAUUAAACGAUAAACCAACAAAACACAAUACAAAAAACCCAAUAAACAUAACAUAUUAAACGAUAAACAAACAAAGUUACUCUAAAGAGAUGCAUUACAUAGGAAUUUUAGCAACAAGACAAAGAGGAUUCUUCUUGUGUUGAGUGAUCCCUGGCAACAUUUCAUAAUCAAUAUCUUCCUUUUUUAACCCAUCUGGCAAUCCCCAAUCAAAUGAAUAGAGAAGAUUAGCAAGAACAAGUUCCAAGAAAGCAACUCCCAUGGUUAUACCAGGACAAAUUCUACGACCAGCUCCAAAAGGUAUUAGUUCAAAAUCUUGUCCAGUAAAAUUUAUAGAACUUUCUAAAGAACUUUCUAGGAAUCUCUCGGGAUAAAAUUCGUCAGGAUUUUUCCAAAAAUUAGGGUCUCUCUGAAUAGCCCAAGCAUUCACAUACAAUAUUGUCUUGGCUGGAAUUUCGUAUCCACUUAAAGUACACUUUUCACGUGCUUCUCUUUGCACAAGCAAUGGAGAUGGUAGAUUCAUUCUUAAUGUUUCUUUAAUCGCUGCUUUUAAAUAAGGAAAAUUUUUAAUAUCAUCUUCAUUAAUAAAAUCUUUUUUUCUUCCCACACUCCUAAUUUCUUCUUGUACCUUUUUCAUUACUCUUGGGUUUUUUAUUAGCGCAAGCAUAAACCAAAUUAAUGUGGCUGAUGAGGUAUCUGUUGCAGCUACAAGCAUAUCCUAAAAAAAAUAUUUAUGAUUAAAAACAUUAACUCAAUUUUUCAUAUUUGCAUGUUAUCAAAAUAUAUAAUAUAAUAAGCAAAUUAAAAUUUAAAAAAAAAAAUCUUUUUCUUAAGAAAAUCUAUGAAUUGAAAGAGAAAAUCUUUUCUUUUGUCCAACAUAUUCACAUGUGUAGUCCCUACGAAAUCUUAGCUAGUCUGUAAUGUCCACUCCUUCCACAAUCUAAUCUGUUCUACUUUUAUUUUAAUAUAUUUUCUACUCAAAAUAAAAUUUUGUUUUAUUUAUGAGAUAUAUAAAAUAUUAUUGUACCUACAAUCUUAAUUCAAGAGAUAAAAAUAUCGAUAUUGAACGUUAAGAACCUCAUUCUAAUUUGUGUAUGAUUUUAGUGAUUAUUAUGAUUUCAUUUAUAAACUAAAAUAAAAAAUAUAUAUUUAAUUCACAUAAAAACCUGUUAAAAAUUAAAAUUCAUUAAAAAUGUUAAAAAAGAAAAAAGAAUUAAAAAAUCAUACCAUGAGGACUCCUUUGAUGAGAUCAAAAGUGAUAUCAAAAGGAAGAGAACGUUCUUUCUUCAAUCGCAAUAAAACAUCAACAAUAACCUCUUCAUCUCCAUGUUCUCUAUUUGGAUCCAAAUGUUCAUCAAUAAUCUCUUGAUAAAACUUAUCAAACUCCUUGUAAAUUUUAUCAAGACGACCAUGCAAUCCUCUCGCUUUAUCAAUCCAACCCGUAAAUGGAAUAUAAUCAGCAACAAAAGUUUCUGCUAGCAAAGCUUGAAACUCAUGCAACAUUUCAGGAAACCUACUACUACUCUCAGGUCCUUCAUUUUCAAAGGUUUUUCCAAAAGCAAUGUUACAUAUUAGAGAACUUGCAAGAGAUAUCAAUACCUCACUCAUAUUUGUAACACUUGAAGAAUUAGCAUUUUCUGAUAUUUUUUUAAUCAGUUUCCUCACCUCAAAGUUUCUUAUGGAAGAAUAAUAUGCUACACGUAUGGAACUAAAAAUAUGAAUAACACAAAUUUUUCUUAUAUCUCUCCAAGAUUCAUUGUAUUGUGAAAAUAAAACUUCUGAUCCGUUAUAAGAUAAUUUUUGUUGGCUAUAUAAUUGAGGUCUGUCAGAAAACGUAUGGUCAUUUUUUUUAAAAAUUUCUUUGGCAAUUUCAGAUGAAGAAACUACAAUAGCUUGUCUUGAACCAAGUUUAAGUGAAAAUAUAGGACCAUAUAUUUUUGAAAAGUCUGCAAGUUGAACACUAAUAUUAAGGAGGUCUAGUUGGUGAAGAUUUCCUAUUAUGGGAAGGCCUUUAGGACCAGGUGGAAAAUGUUUAGUGGUUUUGUGUUUGUGGAAGAAGAUUAGGAGAGGAAGAAUUAAGCAUAGAGCAAGGAGAAGUACUAGUGAUAACAUUGUUAGAACUAAUAUCACAAAUGAUGGACUAUGAGAAAGAAGAUGAAUGAGUAACUUGGUCCCUGUGAACACUUAUAUAUUAGUUUAGUAAUGAAUAUCCUAUUUACUCUAGAAAAAAGAAAAAGAAAAUAUAAAAAACUAACAGUAUUUUUCAGUUAUUGGAAAAAAAUAUUUGGACCACACAUUGUCAAGGGAAGGAUAUAUAAUAAAUUUCAAUAAAAUAGAAUUAUGGUAAUUUUAUAAGAAUAAGAUUUGGUUUUGCAUCUAACUUUAUGUUUUGAUCAUAAUAAUAGAUAGAUUUUUCGAGAACAAUUUUGUAUCUUAAUGGUUUUGGUUAGUGUGCAGAUACUAGAUGAGUUUUGACUUUGAUAGAAUGACGUGUGACAACAUCAAAUUCUAAACCUAGUGCACUGAUCAGCUGUCGCACGCGGAUCAAAACAAGUAGUUUUUCAAAAAUGUAGUUUAACGACAAAUUGACUCAAAUAUCGUUCUCAAGGAUUCUUGUUUAAUUAAUCUAAAUUCGGCCAACAAAUGGCCCAAAAGAAAAUAUUUCCUAAACUACGAAACUUCAACGAAUUAUUUGAGACGUCUUCACUCUGAAUCAGCUUUUGUCUUCAACAUAAAAGUUGUAGCUCUUUCUCUUAGCUUUCCAACGACUUGUAGCACGCCUCGAUCCGAUACUCUUAGCUCCAGUUAUGAAUUUACUCGUGCAGAUCCACUGCUAAUGCUGAAAAUAAACUGCGAGAAAUAAAUAAGUGUAAAAAUAAGAUAAAUUAUAAAAACACAUUAAAAGUGAAAAAUAAGCAAACUACAACAUGGAAAUGCAUAAGUAUAAAUAUAGAUGAAUGCGCAUCUAAAUGCACUGAUCAAAUUCCCCCACACUUGAACUUUUGCACUCCGAGCAAAAUUUAAAAAAAAAACAAAGCAAAAAAAAAAAUUUGAUCCGUUGUCGCACGCGGGUCAAAAACGAGUAAUAAAAUAUAGUAAACGGGAAGCGACACCUCGAGUAUCGUAUCGCAAGGAUUCUUGUAUUAUUCUUAACCUAAUGAAAUCGAUUUAAGGGGGGUUUAUGUUUUAGUGGUCGAUUUAGAAAACAAAGCAAAAAAAAGUGAUUAAAAUAAGUGAUUAUAAAAUAAGUCAAUCUACUGUUUUCGGUUUCCGGCUAAUCAUUGGUUUUUACCUACCAAUUUCCUAAACGGCUUCGAUCUCUAUUUGAUUCAAAUUCGAUUGACAAGCGCAAUAGAUAUCUGACAGAUUUAUAUUCCUAUAUUCCGAAUUAAGCAAACAGAUAAAUACAAUCGUGAAUUAAGCAAACACGAUUUACAAACGCAAUUUAACGACAAAGCGACGAAAACGGCGAUUAAUAGUUAGAAAUGCAAUCAUACGAAUUUAAUCAAAACCAUUCCACAAAUUACAGAUUAAGGAAAUAAAAUUUCAUAGAAUAGAAUUGAAAGAGAACGAAAUUAAAUUGAUAGAAUAAAAACCUCAAAGCCUUGGAAAUUCGGUUACAGCAGAUUGACUCUAGGAGAUUAGUUCCUCUUCAUGAUCGCACAAAAGCAAAAAGUUAUCGUGAAUAAUGUNNNNNNNNNNNNNNNNNNNNNNNNNNNNNNNNNNNNNNNNNNNNNNNNNNNNNNNNNNNNNNNNNNNNNNNNNNNNNNNNNNNNNNNNNNNNNNNNNNNNNNNNNNNNNNNNNNNNNNNNNNNNNNNNNNNNNNNNNNNNNNNNNNNNNNNNNNNNNNNNNNNNNNNNNNNNNNNNNNNNNNNNNNNNNNNNNNNNNNNNNNNNNNNNNNNNNNNNNNNNNNNNNNNNNNNNNNNNNNNNNNNNNNNNNNNNNNNNNNNNNNNNNNNNNNNNNNNNNNNNNNNNNNNNNNNNNNNNNNNNNNNNNNNNNNNNNNNNNNNNNNNNNNNNNNNNNNNNNNNNNNNNNNNNNNNNNNNNNNNNNNNNNNNNNNNNNNNNNNNNNNNNNNNNNNNNNNNNNNNNNNNNNNNNNNNNNNNNNNNNNNNNNNNNNNNNNNNNNNNNNNNNNNNNNCGGGUCAAAAACGAGUAAUAAAAUAUAGUAAACGGGAAGCGACACCUCGAGUAUCGUAUCGCAAGGAUUCUUGUAUUAUUCUUAACCUAAUGAAAUCGAUUUAAGGGGGGUUUAUGUUUUAGUGGUCGAUUUAGUAAACAAAGCAAAAAAAAGUGAUUAAAAUAAGUGAUUAUAAAAUAAGUCAAUCUACUGUUUUCGGUUUCCGGCUAAUCAUUGGUUUUUACCUACCAAUUUCCUAAACGGCUUCGAUCUCUAUUUGAUUCAAAUUCGAUUGACAAGCGCAAUAGAUAUCUGACAGAUUUAUAUUCCUAUAUUCCGAAUUAAGCAAACAGAUAAAUACAAUCGUGAAUUAAGCAAACACGAUUUACAAACGCAAUUUAACGACAAAGCGACGAAAACGGCGAUUAAUAGUUAGAAAUGCAAUCAUACGAAUUUAAUCAAAACCAUUCCACAAAUUACAGAUUAAGGAAAUAAAAUUUCAUAGAAUAGAAUUGAAAGAGAACGAAAUUAAAUUGAUAGAAUAAAAACCUCAAAGCCUUGGAAAUUCGGUUACAGCAGAUUGACUCUAGGAGAUUAGUUCCUCUUCAUGAUCGCACAAAAGCAAAAAGUUAUCGUGAAUAAUGUCUCCCCCCUACAGUACCACGGCUGCCCCCUUUUAAACAGAAUAAGGGUUUCACUAAUUAUUCAAACUGGGCCGGAAAACCUAAAUUCGGCCCACAAAUGGCCCAAAAGAAAAUAUUUCCUAAAGUACGGAACUUCAACGAAUUAUUUAAGACAUCUUCACUCCGAAUCAGCUUUUGUCUUCAACAUAAAAGUUUUAUCUCUUUCUCUUAGCUUUCGAACGACUGGUAGCACGCCUCGAUCUGAUACUCCUAGCUCCAGUUAUGAAUUUAUUCGUGCAGACUGCUAAUGCUGAAAAUAAACUGCGAGAAAUAAAUAAGUGUAAAAAUAAGAUAAAUUAUAAAAACUCAUUAAAAGUGAAAAAUAACCAAACUACAACAUGGAAAUGCAUAAGUAUAAAUAUAGAUGAAUGUGCAUCUAAAUGCACUGAUCAAAUUCCCCCACACUUGAACUUUUGCACUCCAAGCAAAAUUUAAAAUAAAACAAAGAAAACACAAACACAUCAUUAGUUACUCAUCCUAGGCUACAAGUCUUCUUCGAUUAUGUUUGCAUCGAUAGGUACUAAUCUUGCACACUAAGGAUAUCAUAGGAAUACUAAUCCAUAAUUGUGCAGUCAUAAACCUCCUGAAUACACAAAUCAACUCGAAUCAUGUUAUUAUGUUAAAGCCUAACUUACUCAUCCUUCUUUUUGCUCUUUUUCAUUCAGGCGCAAUAAUCCAUAAUUGUGCAGUCAUAAACCUCCUGAAUACACAAAUCAACUCGAAUCAUGUUAUUAUGUUAAAGCCUAACUUACUCAUCCUUCUUUUUGCUCUUUUUCAUUCAGGCGCAAUCACAUUAAGCCAGUUAUCUCCACACACCCAUAGCAAGGCGACCGGUUAGUGACUCUGAUCCUUUUCUGCACGGGGUUCUGAUACUUAAGUGGCAUAACCCUUUGCUUACUCAAUUGUAGUUGCGGGGGAUCGGACCGUAAUCCUCCCUACCAAGUUCAGCACCAGAAACCGCUGAACCAACUACAAAAGAGUCUUAUUUCCAACUUUUUUUGAAGGUUCCACAACCGUUGGGUUAAGUGACCGGGUGAGGGUCACCAAACUUAAAAGGUGUAUUCCUUUAUUUUUUCUCUUUUUUUUUCUUCGGAACACUCACUUAUAUUCAUCGGCUUCCCUGCCUAGAGUGUGCGUGAGAUGGUGUUGACUGCUGAAAUAAACUACUCAAGAGCUGUCAGAGGAUGAUAAUGUAAGGCUAAAACAUAAUAAAAAUUCAACUCAAUUUCCAUAUGCAGGAGACUUACGGUGUUAAAACAAUAUCGAUCUUGUGAAUUUUUCCCAAGUCUCCGCAAACUCGACUCAAAGUAACCUAUAGCCUAAAAAUUUCAAGAAGAUGCAUUUUUUUUAGCAACUAAAAACCAAAAACAGAGAAAAAAUGAAAAAUAAAACAAAACAAAUAAAUGAUUCCCUCCCUCACACUUAAAACAUACAUUGUCCUCAAUGAAAUACCAUAAAUAUAAAAUAAGAGUGGGAGAAAGGAAAGAACACACCCGAGGAGUCAAGGCGGAUAAGUGAUUACAUAAGCAGCCUUUUCCAAAGAGAGUUCUUUUGCAGUCUCUUCUUCCAAAGUCGGGUUCUCAUGUAGUAGCUUUGGAUAGUGUCCAUUGAUCUUGAAAUUUUGAUUAGUGUAUUCACCUUGUAUUCCAGGAUCAAAGAAGAAUCUUUGAUAAGUAAAAGUGUUGAAUGGGCGCGUGAAAGUGAUCUCCUUUUUUACAACAUCAAGAAUUAAAGGAUUAUGGGGUUGCCUCACUACUUUUGUUUCAUCUUUAAGUGAGAUUCUAUGUAUACAUAUGGAUGAGCUAAUAUCACGAGUGCCAGCCAAGGUCCAUCUAAUUCCCUUCUUAUAUUUCUGAUUAAGUUGAAGCUUUGAUGAAUAAUAUGAAUCCUCGGGAAGUGGUUUAGGCUCUAAAGAAUGUGGUUAUUCAAUGCAUGGUAUGUUUGGGGCAGUCGGAAUAUUAAGAGCUUCAUCCAAAUAAACAACUUCGUUUAUACUAUCACCCUGCAAGGCAGCAUCAAUCUCAACACAAACAACACAAAGGUUAGUGUUAGUACAAUCAUCGCAUGAAUAAACAUCAUCAAACUCAGAUAGAGAUGGAAAAUCAAGUGAAAAUAAUUCAGAAAAGGUGUCAUCAACCAACUCAUAGAUCAAUUCAAUAUGAAAAAUAGAAUUCUUUUCCAAGGGAUGUUUCAUGGCAUCGAAAAUGUUAAAUUUUGCGACAAUGUCACCAAAUUCCAUGGACAUGGUUCCAUCGUCAACAUCAAUUUUUGUCUUCGCCGUCUUCAUGAACGGUCUUCCUAAAAUGAUGGGAGCUCUGAUUGUCUUGGUUUCUCCUUCCAUGUCUAGAAUAUAGAAAUCUACAGGAAAAAUCAAAUCGUUAACUUGAACAAGAACAUCUUCGACUAUCCUGGCGGGUCGAGCGUUGCUCCUGUUUGCCAAUUGAAUGAUUAAACCUGUAUGCUGCAAAGGACCAAGACAAAGGUUAUUAUAAACAGAAGUAGGCAUAACAUUAAUGCCCGCUCCCAAAUCAAGCAUGCAAUUCUCAAAUUUAUUAUCCCCGAUGGUACAAGGAAUAACAAAUGUUCCAAGAUCCUUCUGCUUUUGUGGCAGAACCUGAGUAGUGAGGGCUAAAACAUUUUGCUCGCCUACAAUCUGUUUGGAUGAUUGUUUGGGCUGAAUAAAGGCAGAAAUAUUUCGUCCUAAGUUUACUCUUUCACUUCCCUUAAUCCUCCUCUUGUUGGUACACAAAUCUUUCAGAAACUUUGCAUACUUAGGAACCUGCUUAAUAAUAUCAAGUAGCGGAAUGUUUACCGCAACCUUUCGGAAAACAUCCAGUAUCUCUCUUUCUUUGUCUCCCUCCUCAAUUCUUUUAUUUUUCAGAACUCUAUGUGGGAAGGGGACUGGUGGCCCAUACUCCUUUUCUUUAAUUUUUUCAGUUUCGACCACAACAGAAGAAGGAGAAGAAAGUUCAGCUGGGUGAGGCUCAGAAGGAGAAAGUUCAGAAGUUACCUCAAUGAUUUUUUUAUUUUUUUCAGGGGCUGGUUCUGUAACUUUUCCGGAUCUCAAAGAAAUUGCGCUCACAUUAGCAUUAGGACCAUUCGGAUUGACAACUGUCUGGGCUGGAAGUUGGUUCGAACCUUGAGCUUGCAUGUUAUUUAUUUGAGUAGCAAGCUGUCCCAUCUGUGUGUUCAAGGUCUGAAUGCUAGCAUCGGUCCUUUGUUGGAACUGGAGGUUGUUCACGGCCAUUUGCUUAACAAGAUCCUCCAAGGAUGGUCCGGAAGGUGCAGGGGCAGCCACUUAAGGUGAGUUCUGUUGUUGGCUGGUUUGCGGGUUUCCAUAUCGAAGGUUGGGAUGGUUCCUCCAAUUGGGAUGGUAUUUGUUGGUGGACAGGUCAGGAGUGUUGGUGUACCUGUUUUGAUUGUAAAGGUUGGCUGCAUAAGCUUGUGGCAGCUCAGUAAUGAACUCGUCUCUCAGAAUAGGACAAGUAUCGGUAGGGUGCUCGGUGGAAGUACAAAUGCCACACAAAGUUGUUGUUUGAGGUUUUGCUACUGCCAGCUGUUUGACUAAGGCAGUGAGCUCGUCAAUUCUGGUCUUUAAAGGUUUGUUGGAAGAAACCUGAAUUUGAUUCACGCCUUUACUUUUCACAAAAUUGUCUCUAGUGGUGAACUGUUGAGAAUUAAGAGACAUAUUUUCAAUAAGGGCUUUGGCAGCAUCUGGAGUUUUAUCGACUAAUGCUCCACCACUAGCAACAUCAAGAAUGUUCUUGUCCAGCGGUAACAACCCCUCAUAAAAGUAUUGGAUGAGUAGUUGCUCGGUGAUCUGGUGUUGAGGAUAACUAGAUAUUAAUUUCUUGUAUCUUUCCCAAUACUCAGCAAGUGACUCAUUAUCCUGUCUAAUACCACAAAUCUCUUUUCUGAUCGAGGCUGCUUUGGAGGCAGGGAAGUAUCUCUCUAAGAACACUCUUUUUAGAGCAUUCCAGCUUGUGAUCGAGUUUAGCUCAAGAUAAUAUAUUCAAUCCUUUGCUGCACCCUGCAAUGAAAAAGGAAAAGCUCGAAGUUUGAUAUGGUCUUCAGUUAUUCCUUCAGGCCUCAACGGUGUAGAGCACACAACCUGGAAUUCUUUGAGAUGUUUAUGUGGAUAGUCUUCAGUUAUUCCUUCAGGCCUCAACGGUGUAGAGCACACAACCUGGAAUUCUUUGAGAUGUUUAUGUGGAUUCUCACCUGCAAGACCAUUAAACUUUGGCAACAAGUGUAUCAAACCAGAUUUUUGUUCAAAAGGAGUGUCAGCUUCAGGAUAUUCAAUAUACAUGCCAUUAUAAUUCACAUCAGGGACAACUAACUGCCUUAAAGUUCUUUGGUCAGUCAUAGUCAAAAACAAACACAAUGAAGGAAAACGAUUACAAUAAAUUUAGAAAAAUAAACUAACACCGAAAUUAAUCUAAUGACGUCAAUUAAAAUUUUUGAGAAUUUUUUCGGAAUUUUCUAAAACUAUCAAAACAGAAAAAAAAUCAUAAAAAAUAGAAAAAUAAGGAAUUUCGACUUUUUAGGGUGUCGUCCACUAUUUAGACCCUAAAUAAAGGCUUUUUAUCCUUGAUUUUUUCCUAAUAAAUCGACAAAAAAUCAGAAUAAUCAGAAACGAUUUUCUUAAAAACAAUUUUUUUUUCCUAAACCGCAAAAAGACCCGAACGCAAGAAAGUUAAGGCAAAAAAGUACUAAAAAAAACAACACCUAUGACUCUAAAAACGAUUAAUAUAAUCAAGAAACACCGACAACGGCGCCAAUUUGAUCCGCUGUCGCACGCGGGUCAAGAACGAGUAAUAAAAUAUAGUAAACGGGAAGCGACACCUCGAGUAUCGUAUCGCAAGGAUUCUUGUAUUAUUCUUAACCUAAUGAAAUUAAUUUAAGGGGGGUUUAUGUUUUAGUGGUCUAUUUAGUAAACAAAGCAAAAAAAAAGUGAUUAAAAUAAGCGAUUAUAAAAUAAGUCAAUCUACUGUUUUCGGUUUCUGGCUAAUCAUUGGUUUUUACCUACCAAUUUCCUAAACGGCUUCGAUCUCUAUUUGAUUCAAAUUCGAUUGACAAUCACAAUAGAUAUCUGACAGAUUUAUAUUCCUAUAUUCCGAAUUAAGCAAACAGAUAAAUACAAUCGUGAAUUAAGCAAACAUGAUUUACAAACGCAAUUUAACGACAAAGCGACGAAAACGAUGAUUAAUAGUUAGAAAUGCAAUUAUACGAAUUUAAUCAAAACCAUUCCACAAAUUACAGAUUAAGCAAAUGAAAUUUCAUAGAAUAGAAUUGAAAGAGAACGAAAUUAAAUUGAUAGAAUAAAAACCUCAAAGCCUUGGAAAUUCGGUUACAGCAGAUUGACUCUAGGAGAUUAGUUCCUCUUCAUGAUCGCACAAAAGCAAAAAGUUAUCGUGAAUAAUGUCUCCCCCCUACAGUACCACGGCUUCCCCCUUUUAAACAGAAUAAGGGUUUCACUAGUAAUUCAAACUGGGCCGGAAAAUCUAAAUUCGGCCCACAAAUGGCCCAAAAGAAAAUAUUUCCUAAAGUACAAAACUUCAACGAAUUAUUUGAGACGUCUUCCCUACGAAUCAUCUUUUGUCUUCAACAUAAACAUUUCAGGUCUUUCUCUUAGCUUUCCAACGACUAGUAGCAUGCCUCGAUCCGAUAUUCCUAGCUCCAGUUAUGAAUUUAUUCGUGCAGACUGCUAAUGCUGAAAUAAACUGCGAGAAAUAAAUAAGUGUAAAAAUAAGAUAAAUUAUAAAAACACACUAAAAGUGAAAAAUAACCAAACUACAACAUGGAAAUGCAUAAGUAUAAAUAUAGAUGAAUGUGCAUCUAAAUGCACUGAUCAUGCACUUUGACUCUAAGAUGUGUGUUCUACAAGAUAAACAAGCUCAUAAAAGUGAAAAAUAACCAAACUACAACAUGGAAAUGCAUAAGUAUAAAUAUAGAUGAAUGUGCAUCUAAAUGCACUGAUCAUGCACUUUGACUCUAAGAUGUGUGUUCUACAAGAUAAACAAGCUCCGGAUUCUGUACUCAACGCUUCUGAACAUAGUUUAUCCAAAGCUUUAUGACUCUGAAGAUUUUAACAUUGUCAAGCUCUGAAGUCGGGGGCUUAAAAAAUUCUGAUGAAUUGUGUCACCAGACUCUAAAGACCAUGUUCUGAUGAACUGGAUCAAGACUCUGAAGACAAUGUUUCUAAAGAUUCUCUCAACCAGGCUCUUAUUCUUCCUUCUAUACAUGCUUCAUUACCUCUUUAUCAGAAGCCUCUGAAAAUUGAAGAUAAGAUCAAAAAGGUAUUAUGUGCGAAAAUAGUACACAGUACAAGAUCAAAUAUUCAUCCACUACAAUGAUUUUAUGGACUAAGGACUGACUAUUGUAUCAUUUUGUCUCUCAUUUUCACAGACCGUUAUGCAAAGAUACAAUUGCAUUUAAGUAUUCCAAUUCUACCCUCCAAUGGAUCUCUUCCUUGCCUAUAUAAAGAAGACUUGGAAGAAUGGAAUUGUGCUACACUCUAAGAGAUUAACAUAUACGUGAACAAUGUGUUUUAUGAAAUAUUUUGAGAGAAAAGAAAAGAAACAUACACACAAUGAACUUUUGUUCAUACUCAUCAUAGAAUAUAACAAUGUGUUUUAUGAAAUAUUUUGAGAGAAAAGAAAAGAAACAUACACACAAUGAACUUUUGUUCAUACUCAUCAUAGAAUAUAUAUUUUAUGUGAUAUACUUGUAAUUCAUUUGUGUAUUUUGCUCUCUUAAAAGCAUUUUGUAAACAUAUUUUGUAUCUCAAUCUUUGUGAUUGUAUUUUCUUGAGUGACCAGGGUUUAGUCAGAAAUACUCAAAAAGACAUUGACAGUUGGUCUUUUUGUUAUAAUUAAGUUUGAUUAUAGUGGAUUAAAUCCUUCUGAUAAGGCGAAAUCACCUUGUUAAUAGAGAGCCAUGAUAAAAAUGUUCUUAGAUUCGAGUCAAGAGCAUUUGUUAAUUUGAGUCAAAUGAACAAGUAGAGUGGAAACAGAUCAACAUAAAGAAAAUUGACUCAUGUUGUAACACUGAUUUGAGUUAUGAAGGCUCGUGAUUCAAGUCAUUUAUAAAUCUUGAUUCAUAUCAAAUUGAUCAGAACCGAACAGAAAAAGGUGAAAAACAUUAUGAUUCGAGUCUUGUAGAAAGUGUGAUUCAAAUCAAAUGAGGUAGUGACUAACAUGAGAUGUGUCAUUCGAAUCAUGUGCAAUUUGUUAUUUGAGUCAUAAUGUUGCAUGAUUCGAAUCAUGUGUAAACUGUAAUUCGAGUCAACAAACACCAAAAUCAUCAUCUUCUCCUCAGUUUAGUUUGAUUCGAUUCAUGGAUUGUGAGUGACUCGAGACAUGCACAACAAAUCUCAAUUUUUUAAGUUUAUCAAAAUAGUUUGGAUUUCACUUCCCACAUAACUUGAAGCAACCUCAAAUAUAAUUCUUGUUCCAUUAACUCAAACAAUGUCUUAAAACAUAAUGAUCAUACUCAAACAUAUGCAGUCCAAUUAUGCAUGCUAAAAUGAAUGGAUUCAACACUUAAUCCAAAGAUGUGCAAUUAUGAAGGAGACUCAAUAAACAAUAAUAAAUAAUAUGAAAGCUUAAAAGAUAAGUAACAAAACCGUAUUGGGGUUCUCCACCUGAGUAUAUUCGAGACACGCAACUUCAUCAUAAAUAGAGAGAUUGAGAAAUAUUGAUUAAAAUAUAGGGUUUGUUCUUAAGAACUUGGAUGACUAUUUUCUUGUAACUCAACUCUAAUAUUUUUAAACAACUCUUGAAAGUAUUAUGAAUCAGAAAAUGUCUCUCUCCUUUACAAUGGUUUGUUUGAUCAUAUUUGAAAGAAAAAAUAUUAUAUUCUUUGUCUUGGUAUCUUAUUAAAGACAAACUAUUAAAUUCUUUGUCUUGAUAUCUUGUUAAACAAAGAUUUUUUUUUUCUAAAGACCAUAUAUUUUAAUGUCAUUGUUAUAUGUUCAUAUACAUCAAUUUUUAUAUAUGAUUGAACUCUGAAUAAAUCGGUAUAAGUUAAUAUAGAAUAUAUAUAUUAUAUAUUAUAUAUAUAUUAUAUAUUAUUAUAUAUAUAUAUAUAUAUAUAUAUAUAUAUAUAUAUAUAUAUAUAUAUAUAUAUAUAUAUUAUAUAUAUAUUAAAAACUAUGUAAACGGGAAAAUUGAUAUUGUGGGGAUAUAGAUCAAAAUGUUCAACGAAAAACGAUGUUGAUGAAAAAACUAACUUGUGUCAUGAACAUUCAAAAAUGACAGCAAACCUACUCCAUUGCCACACCUACUUUUAUACAAUUGACAAAAUCAUAUGCUUAUAGAUUUGUGCUUGCUCUAAAAUAUAAAUUAGUUGAAGCGUAAAAAGUAAAUAAUGUUUUUAUUUAAAAUUAAAGAUAACAUAACACAUAGUGGAAUGUUUUCUUCUCCACUAUGUUUUAACAAAUAUUACAUGAGUUCAUACAAUCACUAAUCCACAAUAAUGCUGAGAAAAAUAAAUCUCUUAUCUGGAUCUUGACUUGUAUACAACCUUGACGCCGAACUCUUUGCGAAAUCUUUACUUGAUUCUCGCUUCUUGAUUCUUCCAGCUUCACCAAACUGCUACAAGCCUAUGUGUGUGGAAAUCACCCUUGAUCCAACUGAUUUUUUGAGUGAUGAAUAUUUCGAAGAUUAAGAAGAACUUUUAUCAUGUCUGUAGGCUUCGACACAACACUAUCAAAGUCAACCUGAAGAGAAGAACGCCAUUAUUUUCACUAGAAUUUGUCACCACUAGUCACAACAACAACAAUCUUACAAGCUUCUUGAAAAUAUUUACCAAAACAUCAAGAAAUGUUAGUUUUAAGACACGUCUCCAUCAAUAAUUACAAAUCUCCAUGAUCAAGAUCAAAUAUCAAACUGGGGGUUGUAGAUUAAAGAAAUUUUGUUUGCAAGGGAUUUUUGAGUUUUCAAAAAUGGAGGUUGUUGAUUUCACAAAAUCAUAAUGUUGGUUAUGAGUUUUCUUGAUAAAAAUGGGAUGACAAAACUAAUUUAUAUGUGUUGGAGAUUAUGUACAAAAAACAGGUGAAAAUGGUUGUUAGAUUUGAGUCAAGAGCAUUUGUUGAUUUUAGUCAAAUGAGUAAGUAGAGUGGAACAAGAUUAAUAUUUUCUUUUACCUGGAUAAAGUACACUAAGCUCAGUAUAACAUCCUCUGAUCUGAGUCAUGAAGGAUCGUGAUUCGAGUCAUGUACAAAGCUCGACUCAAAUAAAAUUGAUCAUAACCAAACAGGAAAAUAUGAAAAACAUUUGGAUUCGAGUCAUGUAGAAAGUGUGAUUCAAAUCAAAUGAGCUAGUGACUAACAUGAGAUGUGUGAUGCGAAUCAUGUGCAAUUUUUUAUUCGAGUCAUUGUGUUGCAUGAUUCCAAUCAUGUGUAAACUGUAGUUCGAGUCACAACCAUCAAAAUCAUCUUGUUCUCCUCAAUUUAAUUUGAUUCGAGUCAUAGAUUGUGAGUGACUCGAGUCAUACAUAACAAAUCUCAAUUUUUUCAACUUUUUUUCAAAAUAGUUUGAGAUUUAACUUGCCACAUAACUUGAACCAACCUCAAAUAUGGCUAUUGUUGCAUUAAAUCAAGCAAUUAUCUUAAAACAUAAUGGUUAUACUCAAAUAUAAUCAAUCCAAUUAUGCAUGCUAAAAUAAAUGGAUUCAACACUUAAUCCAAAAAUGUUCAAUUAAGAAGGAGAUCCAAUAAACAAUAAUAAAUGAAACGAAAGCGUAAGAGACAAGUAACAAAAUUGUAUUGGUGUUAUCCCCCUUAAUAUAUUCGAGACAUGCAACUUCAUCAUAUAUAGAGAGUUUGAGAGAUUGAGAAACACUUGAGUAAAAAAUAGAUUUUGUUCUUAAUGAUGGGAAAUUAAGAUACAAUAACAGAUCAAUACGCAACGGACAUAAAAUUCUCACUUGUAGGAACCUUGAGCAUCAACAACAAAUAUAAGACGGCAAAUUGAACAAAUAAAGGCACAAAAGAACACCGAUAUUUUUAAGGUGGAAAGUCCCUUAAUAUACGAGUAAAAACCAAAGGAAUAACUCCACUAUAACCCAUUAAAGAUACAAGAGAGUCUUAAAGUGAUUCACAAACUAUUGCUAACAACUGCAAAUCACAAAGCAAACUAACUUACAAAUAAGAAUAAAAAAGCUGGAAAAAAUUUCAAAUUUGCAACUUCAGUGCGAAGCAGAUAACUCUCACCUCAAACGCUGUUUUGAAAUUCUGAACAGUCAAAAGUUAGAUAUAUGUUUUAUUAACAUGCCCUCAAAAUUUUAACUCGAUAUGACGGUUAACGAAUCAGAGAUAGUUGAUUUAGUGAGACUUGUUGUAGAAAAACGAGAACGAGUUUCUCUCCUCUUUUCUCUCUUUUGAAUCCUUAUUUUUUCUCCAUCUCUCUCAACUCUAAAUUGAUCUUCUCCACUUAAAUACGUGAGACAAAUAGACUAAUCAUAUUUGAUAUUUCUCUACAUAGGAAGGGAGGUCAAAUCCAACACUUAAGAACUUGAGUGACUAUUUUCUUAUAACUGAAUUAUAAAGUUUUUAAACAACUUUUAGAAGUAUUAUGAAUCAGAGAGUUGCUCUCUCCUUUAGAGUAGCUUGUUUGAUCGAAUUUGAAAAAUAAAUUAUUAUAUUCUUUGUCUUGAUAUCUUAUUAAAGAGAUAAAGUUUUUAAACAACUUUUAGAAGUAUUAUGAAUCAGAGAGUUGCUCUCUCCUUUAGAGUAGCUUGUUUGAUCGAAUUUGAAAAAUAAAUUAUUAUAUUCUUUGUCUUGAUAUCUUAUUAAAGAGAGAGUUAAUUUUUGUUGAAGAUCAUUUAUUCCAGUGUCAUUUUUCUAAGUCCAUACACAUAAAUUUUUUUUAUAUGGUUGAACUCUGAAUAAAUCUGAAUAUAUAUAUGGUAGAGACAGAUGUAAGACAGGAAAAUUGAUAUCUCUUUGGGACAUAGAUCAGUUGACGGAAAAACUAAAUUAUGUCAUGAACACGAUAAAAGUGGACAGCAAGCGACUUCAUUGCCACACCUACUUUUAUACAAAUUGGUAAAAUCAUAUGGUUAUAGUUUUAGAAAAAACUAAGACAUCAUCAAUAUAAACAAUUAUAAAUUCAGUAUAAGGAUUAAAAAUAUCAUUCAUAAUAUUUUGAAAUUCAGAAGGGGCAUUUUUAAGGCCAAAAGGAAGAACAUUCCAUUCAUAAUGUCCAAAAGGAAGAGUAAAGGUUGUUUUAUACUUAUCAGAUUCAUUAAUCUGAAUUUGCCAAUAACCAGAUUUCAUAUCAAAUUUAGAGAAGAUUAAAGCAUUGUUUAAUCUAUCUAAAAGAUCUUUUUUUAUUAGGAAUAGGAUAUCUAAUCCAUUUUAACACUUUAUUAAGAGGUUUGAACUUUAUAACAAGUCUAGGGACCCCACGUUCCCAAGGAGAUUUAGAUUUUCUUAUUAAAUUUUUUUCUAAAAGAGAUUCUAUCUCCUUUUUGCAUAAAUCCAAAUACUCAUGAUUCAUUUGAGCAAGCCUAGCUUUAGUGGGAAUCUGACUUUCAUUAAAGUCAUCAAGGUAAAGAAAUAACAUGUUUCUUUCUAUCCCAAAAGGCUUUAGGUAAAUCAUUGCAGAUUUCAUCUCUAAACUGUUGAUUAAUUAAUUUAAUUUGAUUUUGUUAAAGUCCAAAGAAUUCAACUCUAGUAAUGUUUAAUAAAUCUACUUCUUCUUUAAGAAAACAAAUUUGUUUUUCUUUUUUAAGAAGAAUAUCUUUAACUUCAUUAAUCAUCCUAGUAUGAGGAUCAGUAAUAAAGUCAAAAGUAAUUCUUUGGUUAUUGAUAAUGGAGGUAAUUCCCUUCUGAUCAACAUUAAUUAGAGGCAUAAUUUUAUGCAGAAAGGGAGUUCCUAAUAUGAUUCUAUGAGUUAAAUUUUUUACAAGAAUAAAAUGAGUAGGUAAACAAAUAUCUUUAUUACAAAUAUAAUCAUUAGACAACUUAUAAUUAACCGUGAGUUUAUCUUUUCCAGCUUGGGUAAGAGAUUAUGUGGUUUUAUCAAUGUAUUUAGUGGAAAUAAUUCCUUCUUGAAGGCAGUUUAAAUCAACGCCACUAUCAAUAAGGGCAACUUCAUUUUAUAAUAUAAAAUUUCUAUUAAUAACUAAAGUUAUUCUAACAAACCAUUUUUGAGAGGUCACUCUAUCAAUGAGAGAAAGGAAUUCAAUACUAUGUGAAUGAUUACUAGUUGAAGAUAUCUCUUCAACCUUGGAAUUACUAGAUUCUAACAGAGUGAGUCUUUGAGAUAAACCAUAGUUUUCUCUUUUAAUCUGAGAUAUGUCAUUCUUUAAGAGAUUUAUUUCUCUAUUUAAAUCCAUAAUAGAAACAGGAGUUUCACGGAUGUUAGACUGUCGAAAUCUAGACAAAACCUCACUUAAUUGGUAAGGUGCUUCUAUAAUAACAGGAAAAUCUUUUUUAGAGAUUUCUUGUAUUAAGACCUCAAGCAUUUUUAUUUUUAGUUCUUUAUUAGAAAUAGAUUCUAUAGCUUUUAUAGUUUCGUCUUGUUCUGAGGUUAAAACAUUGAACCCAUUCAUAUCAACAAUUGAUUUCCAGUAAUCUAAUUGAUUACAUUGACAAUCAUUACUGUCAGAAUAUUCAGAAGAGCAUUCAGUAGAGGAUUCAUAAAUCAUAUUAAUAUCCUCUUCUGAAGAAUAAUUUUCAGAAUCAGAGAAUUGAGAAGUAAAACUUUUUCUAAUUGAGAACGCAAUUGUUCAUCUUCUAUCUCAUUAAGCGCUUUUUUAGUCCAACAUUGGUUGGCAUAAUGACAUUUCGCCACAUUUAUGACACGUUAUUUCAAGCUUUUUGGCUUUUCUUUUACCUUUAGGGUCAAAAGAUUUUUCUUUAGGUCUACCUUUAUUGUAGUGACCCUUUUUCUUAUUCUUAUAAGAAUUUUUAUAAGAAUUUUUUGACUUAUCCUUAUAAGGUUUAUUGCGGAAAAUGUUUCCUUUUUUCUUCUUAUUAUUAUCUGGAGAUUUUCCAAGAUCAAAAGCAAAUUGUUCGCAAAAUUCACCAAGUUGGUGUUUCUCCGAAAGCUUUUGCUUUUUAAGUUGAUUUCUAAGCUUUAUGUCAUUAUAAAGUUAAUCCUUCAUUAACACCAGUGCUAAUUAUAUGACCAUAAGUAAGGUCAAAAUAAUUUAUCUUUAUCCCAUCAUUUUUCUGUCUUAAAGAUUGUCUACCCUUUUCAGAAAAGAAAUGAGGCAAUCCAUCAAUAAAUUUUGCUUUCCAAUGUAAAAAAUUGGGAUUGUUUAAUUGAUAAAUUCUUGAAAGAAAAAUAUUCUUAUACCAUCUAAAGUGGGUAAGAGAAGGACACCUAAGGUUUUGGAGAAGUGUCUGGAUUUUUUCUCCAAUAGGGACAUUGGUUCCUACAAAAUGUUGUAAGAUGGAGAGACACAGAGUAUACACUACAUCUUCUUCUCCCGUGGUAGUCAUAGCCAAAGUAGUGCUUCUACUAGUUCCUGGCUCGAUCUUAAUGAUUUUCUUAUGAUUAAGAAUUUCUAAUUUCUGAGAUUCGGUGAGGUAAUGAUUAUCGCACCUCGAAAAAUGAGAACACGACUUAAGCGAGGCACAAUCGCACACUCGCAUGAUGGACUGAACAGAGUCGCCACCGAACUUUAUUUAUUCCCAAGUAGGGAAAGGGGAAAUAUCAAUAAAACCUCUAAAAGAAAGGAUAAGAUACAGUCAUCGCAACCAAUGUCAGGGUUCAGGAGUCGAUUACGCAAGGGGAAGGUAUUAGCACCCCUCACGUCCAUUGUACUCAACGGGAACCAUUAGGUUAAUUAUGCAUGUUAGUGUUAGCUUAGAAAUGUCAGGCUUCUCGAGUUAUUAGGUGGGAAAGAAAGAAUAGAAGAGAGAAGAAUGUUUUUGGAUUUUUGCAAAGAAGGGGACUAAACCUAAGUUUUUUAUUAAUGGGCCUGACAAGAUUUCGCAAUCCUGCUCCUAUGUACCUCAAUAGAGAACUCAAGGCUUACGUAGUUCUAGGUAGAAAAAUAUUUGUUUGUUGGUCGAUUUUAGCGAAAGCUAUAUUGUGUUAAUCGACGAAAACAUUGUUUUACCCAAAACAGACGAGGAGAGGACAUAUACCACACAUCGAAUAGAUUAAAAUGUUUAACUUGGGGUAGGAUCAAAGUUUAAGAAAGUAGUCAUAAGCAUUUUAUUCUAUUAAUUAGUCAACAUCAUUACUAGAUAUUUAUUUAAUUAUUUAUUCAUAACAUUUUAACAAUAAUAAAUAAAACUACAAAGAAAACGAUAUUAUUUGGAAAAAUAAUAAUUCUAUAGUUAUUCAAACAUUUAGAUAAAAUAACAAGAAAUAAAGUUGGAGAAAAAUACAAUUAUAUUCUUUUUAUGUCUAGUAAAAUAAAGUGAAAAAAUAAGAUCAACUUAAUAUUAGACAUAUGCAUUUUUUUUUAAAAAGUCUGAUAAUAAAACAAUUAAAUACUUUUUGUUCUCUUUAAAAUCUAACUAAAAUAAUAGCCAAAGAAAAUAAAUUAAACAUAAAUUUAUUUUAUUUUAUUUUUUUCUAACAUAAUCUAAACAUAAAUAUAACUAAAUUAACCCUUUUUUAAUAUUUCUUAUAACAUAAUUUUAAAUUAUAAUGAAAAUAAAUAAAUUAACUAUUUUAAAAAAAUAAAAAUUUCUUAUAACACAAUCUAAAAAUAAUAAUCAAAAUAACUAAAUUAACUUUUUUUAAUAUUUCUUAUAACAAUCUAAAAAUAAUGAUGAAAACAACUAAGUUAAUCUUUUUAAUAAUUUUUAUAACAUGAUCUAAAACUAAUGAUGAAAAUAACUAAAUUAAUUUUUAAUGAUUUUUAUAACAUGAUCUCAAACUAAAAUAAAAUAAAUUGUAAACUUAUUAUUUUUGGAAUUUUAUGACAUGAUAUAAAAUUAAAGGAAAAAAAUGGUAAGUUUUUUUUGGAGUUUCUACGAGAUGAUCUAAAAUUAAAAGAAAAUAAAUGGUAAACUCUUUUUGAAAUAUUUUUAUAACAUAAUCUAAAAUUAAAAAUAAAAUAAAUGGUGAACUCUCUUUUUGGAAAUUUUAUGAUAUAAUCUAAAAUUAAAAGAAAAUAAAUGGUAAACCUCUUUUUUGAAAUAUUUCAUGAUAUAAUCUAAAAUUAAAAGAAAAUAAAUGUUAAAUUUUAUUUUUAUGAUUUUUAUGACAUAAUCUAAUAAUAAUAAUGAAAAUAACUAAAUUAANUAAAAUUAAAGGAAAAAAAUGGUAAGUUUUUUUUGGAGUUUCUACGAGAUGAUCUAAAAUUAAAAGAAAAUAAAUGGUAAACUCUUUUUGAAAUAUUUUUAUAACAUAAUCUAAAAUUAAAAAUAAAAUAAAUGGUGAACUCUCUUUUUGGAAAUUUUAUGAUAUAAUCUAAAAUUAAAAGAAAAUAAAUGGUAAACCUCUUUUUUGAAAUAUUUCAUGAUAUAAUCUAAAAUUAAAAGAAAAUAAAUGUUAAAUUUUAUUUUUAUGAUUUUUAUGACAUAAUCUAAUAAUAAUAAUGAAAAUUACUAAAUUAACUUUUUAAAUAUUUUAUAACAUAAUCUAAAAUAUAAAAUAAUAAAUGAAGAAAAAAAAUUAUUUUUGUGAUUUUAUUAUUAUGAUUUCUAUGUAUUUUUAUUUAUUUUAAUUUUAAAAGAAAUAAUAAAACAGAACUUUUAACCAUCCACUUUAAAAAAAUAAAAUAAAAUAAAAUAGAUAUAAAGAAAUAUGUAUAAGUUUCUACUAAUAUUCAUCUUAUUUGGUAUUUUAAGAAAAAAGAAACUGAAAAUUAUAAUUUUAAUGAAAAAGUUGACUUUAUUUUUAUUCAUUUUCUAUAUUUGUUCUCCCUUUUUUAUUCUUUUUAAAGAAAAAACUAGGAUUAAACUAAAAAUAAAAUAAAGAGAAGAAUAAGUUAAUUUAAAUGUUUUAAGAAACAAAAGAAAAGAAUGAAUGGUUAAUCCAAAAUGCGAGGCUUGAGACCGAUGAUUCGAGGGUUCCCACCGGAAUGCUAGAUUCCAAUGGUCCUCUUCUUUCGUAUUUUCUUUAAAAAGAAAGUUUUUAUUUAUUUAUAAUUUAUCUUACCAAGAUUUCCUUAUUCUAUUUAUUUGAUCACAUUAUCAACCUAUAAUUAUUUAUUUAUUUUGCAACAAAGAUAGAUAAAUAGAUAAAUUAAUUUAAAUGCGUUAGGAUGAAUAAUAUAUAUAUAUAUAUUAUAUAUUAUAGUAUAUAUAUAUAGGAGAUGAUAUGAUUCGAGGAGGAGGAGAGCAGAGGAAAGAAAGAAGGAUGAGGAGGGAGAGAGAGAGAGAGAGACGAAGAGAGAGAGAGGAGAGAGAGAGAGGAGGAGCGAGAGAGAGGAGAGAGGAAGAGGAGGAGAGAGAGAGAGGAGAGAGAGAGAGAGAGGAAGAGAGAGAGAGAGAGAGAGAGAGAGAGAGAGAGAGAGAGAGACGAGAGAAAGAGAGAGAUGAGAGAGAGAGAGAGAGAGAGAGGGAAAUCACAACUUAAAUGUAUUAUUCCAAAUAGUUAUUAAAAAUUAUAAAAUAAACUAAGAAAUGGUAUUUUUUAAAUUUUUUUUAAAACUCAAAAUUAAUUUCUUUUUUAAUAAUAAAAAAAUAAUCUAUUUUUUAACUUUUUUAUAACAAAAUCAACAACAAAAAAAGAAAAAUGGACCUGGGUGUUUCAAAGAACAAAUGGGGGAGGGGGGCAAAUAGCAGAGGGAAAGCCCAAAUGGCAAGCCCAUGGAGCGCGAAUUGGACUCGCAGUGUCAUAUACAAAAGGAAAAUGACAACGUCCAAACAUUCCAGGCUCAAACAAAACCCUAAAAUUAAAAGACUAAUCAAGAUAGAAGGAGUUAGUUUCCAUCAUCUCUUCCUUCUGUCACAACACGUUAUUCUCUUCCUGAGAAAUCUUAGCAAAAAUGACAAGCAAUAAAUGUUAUCCUCAUGUAAAUAAACAACGCAACCAUUUACGUGAUAUGGUAAAAAGACCAUUUUCCAACAAACCUUUUAAAAUACACUGAUUCUAAAAGAAAAUAUAUGGCUUAAAUGAUAUUGAAAUAAAAUAAAUGUAAAAGAAGGGGAAUUAAAAAGGUCAGUAAGAAUCAUAUCACUAAAAUAUUUCCUCUUUCUCCCUCAUGGCUUAGUUGGUUCCUCGUUCUCUCAAGGUUAUAAAGGGAAAGAGAGAGGAAAUUAAAAAAAUCAGACUCCAUCACACCUAUUUCUCACCAGGAGCAUAGCGGGGCCAACCGGCGGCGCCGCUUUUCUUAUGGCGGCUCUUCAACUCAAAACCCUAACACCUAAACACGACCCCCCCACCAAUUUUUGAUGUAGAUUUUGAAUUCGUCCUCUAAAAUAACAAAAAAACAACUAUUCUUCUGAAUCGAGAGAGAACUAAAACCCUAACCUAACAAAUUACCAAUUAACGACCUAAACACAAAAAAGACCUCCAUUCAAAGUGAGACAAGUAAUAAGUAGUAAGGAAAAGAAUGUAAUGCACGAAGACAGAGGCGAAAACGACCUCGACAGAGUUUUGAGACUCCGACGAGGUUCUCUUACCAACCUCGAAGGUAAACGUUUAUGGAUCUCUCUCUCUGCUUUAGUCCACUUCAACUUCUUUUUGGACGACUUUUGUUUCCUCUGAAAUGAAAGACUAUCUUUUGUGGAUCAGGUUUUUUCGAUUGCUAUGGUUUUUUAACGAGCUUUUUGGUGUGACUGCUGGGAUUUUUUUAUUCUUGAUGGUUGCUAGUUUGUUUGAAGGUUCUUAGUCUUUUUCUUAUCUGAUCUUUGGUGGUUUUAUAACUCUUUAUCUCAAACGUUUUUUCUUAAUUUUUUACCUCCCCUUUCUUUAAGAAAAGAACUCCAAUUUAUACUGAUUUCCCAUGCUUUGGAUUAGGAUUUGCAGUAGUUGAUGUUCAUUGACAUAAUUGGAUAUGCAGUUGGUUACUUUUGAAGUGUGAGAGUUUGUUUUGAUCAACUAGUAUAAACCUCUGUUAUAUUUGAAAUUGUGAUAGCCUGUAUUUGCUUUCUUCAUAUUUUGGCUCUUUGCUUUGUCUCUUAUUCUAAAAUGGUGUUAACUUGAUGCUCUGUUUUACUGCAGGUACAAGACAAAAUUUUGCUCCACAAGUGUACUAUGGUUAAGGUGUAGAGAUGGUAGCAUGGCCUAGUCAAUUCAAGCCUUGAGAGAUCAACUUUUUUUUUGUACUUAUUCUCUUUUUUUAAUGUAGUUUGUUACUGUAAAAACUACCUUAUUAUAAUGUAAAAACUUAUAUUUAUAUUUUUAUUGAAAUCUUUUUAUUUAUUUGUGAUGUAGAAGACAAAGUGAAAUUAAAUGUGACUAUUUUUUUUUUAAUUUUGAGAUAAAGAAAUGAUAUUUAUUUAUCAAAUGUGACCAAAUAUUUUCUUAAAUCCAAUUAAUAGAAUCAAAUAAAUUAUCAUGACUAAGAUUAUCCCCUUUUUUUUAAUUCUUGACUUAAUUAUAUCCUUUGUCACUUAGUUCAAAAUCUCAAACCAACCUAAUUAAUUAUAUUUUCAAACCAUGAAAGAAUUAUGUUAAAAAAUCUAACAACAAAGAGCAAAACCAAAUAGGUCCAAAUAAAAUCCAAAUUAAUUGAAUUAAAAAAUGCAAAUCAAAGCCAAAUGGAUGCAUGGAAAGAACAAUUAUAUGAAUGGCAUGGUAAAUGAAGAAAAAAAAUUCUAAUAAAAUUAAAUAAAUGCCAUUAAAAUGAAAUUAAAAAAAUGGAAUAAUUUAUGUCAAUGAGUGGAUGCAAGUUGAUAAAUACAAAUGCUUGAAAUGUAAAUGAAUGCCUUUAGGCGGGGAAAAAUUUAGGGUAUGACAAUGAUCCCACCGGCCUCUAAGUUGGCCAACAAGUCAUGUGGUUAUAAAGGAUGCUAUAGAACUAUAUGAAUUUCCAUGUUACUUGCAAACAGUAGAAUACAUGAUCAUCCUAUGGACUGUAUCUAUAAUUUGUUUGUCAUUAAGACUAUCAACACUCCAUUCAUAAAUGGCUUUUCCUGAAUAAGAAUUCUGGAAUGGUUCAAGUUCCUCAAAGAGCAAAUCUUGCGGUGAGGGGCGUUUGUAAUAAUACUUUUCUAUAGGCCUAGGAGAAUAAACAGGGUUUAUAUUAUUAGUAUUAUUAAUGUCAAAGUUACUAAUGUCUAAAUUAGCAAACAUAUAAGAUAAUUGGUCAAUAUGGUUUUCGUUAUUAUCCUCAGAAUAAUCUUCAUAGGACAUAACUGUGAUAUUAAGAGCUUUUAACUUUUGUUCUAAAAUACGAACAAAUUCUUGACCAUUGAUUUCCAUUUUAAAUCCCUCAAUGGAAAUAGGAGGUUGUACUAUAGAAACAUCCGAAAUAGUGGAUGUGGACAUCUGGUCCUUAGGUUUAUUUAUGAUGUCAAUAAUGAUAUCUUGACGUGCUAUUUGUUUUUCUAAAAGAUUUUUUAUGGAUAAUAGAUCUUUUUCCAUAGAGAGUCCUUAGGUUUAUUUAUGAUGUCAAUAAUGAUAUCUUGACGUGCUAUUUGUUUUUCUAAAAGAUUUUUUAUGGAUAAUAGAUCUUUUUCCAUAGAGAUAAUUUGUUCUCCUAAGCAAACAAGAUAAACAUUGGUAUAAUUCUGAGACCUGAUGACGAAAUUUAAUUCCUUAAGAGUAACUUGAUUUUGUUCAACUCUUUGUAACUAAAGGUUAAGUUAAGGGGUAGCUUCAGUAUUUUGACUCAAACUUAUCGUUUGUUCAGGGGGGAAAACAAGCUUCCAUUUUCUCUCCUCUAACAUUUUCCCAAGGUCUCUGUAAAACAAGGAUUUCUUCUUGUUUUUUACUUAUGAAAUAGUUAACAAACCAUUUCACAAAAGGAAUGAAAUCCUGCCCAAGGUUCAUUUGAGUGUAGUACUCAUCUUUAAAUUGAGCUAAUUCGAGUUUUGAAUUUAAAAAAAAAAACCAUUCUCUGAAUUGAGUAUAUCUCUCAUGUUGAAACUCAUCAUUGAUGAGUUGUCUCAUCUUGCUACCAGGGGAGUAAUCUAACAUUAGGAAAAGUUACCUAAUUAUAUAUGGUAGAGACAUAUGUAAGAUAUAUAUGUGGUAGAGACAGAUGUAAGACAGGAAAAUUGAUAUCUCUUUGGGACAUAGAUAAGUUGAUGGAAAAACUAACUUAUGUCAUGGACAUGAUAAAAAUGGACAGCAAGCGACUUCAUUGCCACACCUACUUUUAUACAAAUUGGUAAAAUCAUAUGCUUAUAGAUAUAGUGCAAUAAUGCUCUAAAACAUAAAUUGGUUGAAGCAUAAAAACUAAAUAAUGCUUUUAUUUAAAAAUUUAAAGAUAGCACAAUACAAAAAUCCCAAUAAACAUAACAUAUUAAACGAUAAACCAACAAAACACAAUACAAAAAACCCAAUAAACAUAACAUAUUAAACGAUAAACAAACAAAGUUACUCUAAAGAGAUGCAUUACAUAGGAAUUUUAGCAACAAGACAAAGAGGAUUCUUCUUGUGUUGAGUGAUCCCUGGCAACAUUUCAUAAUCAAUAUCUUCCUUUUUUAACCCAUCUGGCAAUCCCCAAUCAAAUGAAUAGAGAAGAUUAGCAAGAACAAGUUCCAAGAAAGCAACUCCCAUGGUUAUACCAGGACAAAUUCUACGACCAGCUCCAAAAGGUAUUAGUUCAAAAUCUUGUCCAGUAAAAUUUAUAGAACUUUCUAAAGAACUUUCUAGGAAUCUCUCGGGAUAAAAUUCGUCAGGAUUUUUCCAAAAAUUAGGGUCUCUCUGAAUAGCCCAAGCAUUCACAUACAAUAUUGUCUUGGCUGGAAUUUCGUAUCCACUUAAAG